rnacentral:pre_miRNA from 1 species
GAAUCCUGUCAUAUUUUUCCACGGCUUUCUUGAACUUGAAGAUCAGUAGUGGCCGCGGCCGAUCGUAUCGAGAACAGAUCCGAAUCACAAGUUCAAGAAAGCCGUGGGAAAAUAUAGAGGGAUUC